rnacentral:snoRNA from 1 species
UUGCCCCCGGUUGAGUACGGAAAUAAGUGUUUAAACAUCUUGAACAGUUUCCUUAAUUAAGGGUGGCCAAAGUAAAAGUUGCACGAGGCACUUGCUCCGCCCUCCCCCCGGGAGUGGAGCAGCCAAGAGCAACGAUAGCU